UGCCAGUAGUCAUAUGCUUGUCUUAAAGAUUAAGCCAUGCAUGUCUAAGUAUAAGCACUUGUACUGUGAAACUGCGAAUGGCUCAUUAUAUCAGUUAUAAUUUAUUUGAUGGUCAUUUACUUGGAUAACCGUGGUAAAUCUAGAGCUAAUACAUGCAUAAAAUCCUGACUGGGAACGGAAAGGAUGUAUUUAUUAGAUACAAAAACCAAUGCACUAAGUUCUCUCGAGAGCUUGGUGGAAAACAUGGUGAUUCAUGAUAACUUUACGAAUCGUAUGGUCUUGUACCGACGAUAGUUCAUUCAAAUUUCUGCCCUAUCAACUUUCGAUGGUAGUAUAGAGGACUACCAUGGUGGUAACGGGUAACGGAGAAUCAGGGUUUGAUUCCGGAGAAGGAGCCUGAGAAACGGCUACUACUUCCAAGGAAGGCAGCAGGAGCGCAAAUUACCCAAUCCCGACACGAGGAGGUAGUGACAAAAAAUAACAAUACCGGUCUUAUAUAAGUCUGGUAAUUGGAAUGAGUACAAUCUAAACCCCUUAACGAGUAUCAAUUGGAGGACAAGUCUGGU
rnacentral:rRNA from 1 species